rnacentral:rRNA from 1 species
AUUGAACGCUGGCGGCAUGCCUUACACAUGCAAGUCGAACGGUAACAGGUCUUCGGAUGCUGACGAGUGGCGAACGGGUGAGUAAUACAUCGGAACGUGCCUAGUAGUGGGGGAUAACUACUCGAAAGAGUGGCUAAUACCGCAUGAGAUCUACGGAUGAAAGCAGGGGAUCGCGAGACCUUGUGCUACUAGAGCGGCCGAUGGCAGAUUAGGUAGUUGGUGGGAUAAAAGCUUACCAAGCCGACGAUCUGUAGCUGGUCUGAGAGGACGAUCAGCACACUGGGACUGAGACACGGCCCAGACUCCUACGGGAGGCAGCAGUGGGGAAUUUUGGACAAUGGGCGCAAGCCUGAUCCAGCAAUGCCGCGUGCAGGAUGAAGGCCUUCGGGUUGUAAACUGCUUUUGUACGGAACGAAAAGCCCCGGGUUAAUACCCUGGGGUCAUGACGGUACCGUAAGAAUAAGCACCGGCUAACUACGUGCCAGCCGCCGCGGGAA